GGCCCUUGCGGUAUUCAGAUGAGCCUUAGGUUCGGAUUAGCUAGUUGGUGAGGUAAUGGCUCACCAAGGCGACGAUCCGUAACUGGUCUGAGAGGAUGAUCAGUCACACUGGAACUGAGACACGGUCCAGACUCCUACGGGAGGCAGCAGUGGGGAAUAUUGGACAAUGGGCGAAAGCCUGAUCCAGCCAUGCCGCGUGUGUGAAGAAGGUCUUCGGAUUGUAAAGCACUUUAAGUUGGGAGGAAGGGCAGUAGGUUAAUACCUUGCUGUUUUGACGUUACCGACAGAAUAAGCACCGGCUAACUU
rnacentral:rRNA from 1 species